UACGGAGGGUGCAAGCGUUAAUCGGAAUUACUGGGCGUAAAGCGUGCGUAGGUGGUUCGUUAAGUCCGUUGUGAAAGCCCCGAGCUCAACUUGGGAAUUGCAGUGGAUACUGGCGAGCUGGAGUGCGGUAGAGGAAGGUGGAAUUCCCGGUGUAGCGGUGAAAUGCGUAGAGAUCGGGAGGAACACCCGUGGCGAAGGCGGCCAUCUGGACCAGCACUGGCGCGAGCAGCGAAAGCGUGGGGAGCAAACAGG
rnacentral:rRNA from 1 species